AUAUGGGUUUGUUCGUGUCGGAUGUCAUGUUCGAUUGCUGCUAGAGCGCCGCCUUACUCAGCAGGCCAACGAAAAGAUUUGUUGAUUUAGCUGGCAGCUGGCAGAUUUAGUCAUGUGGGUCAUGUGGGCACUUAUUCGCCGUUUGCAAUUUGCUUGAUUCGAGAAGUUGUAACAAUAGUGCUCGGUACAAUGUAUAGCAAGAGGAUGGAUUCGGUAAACGUUUCCCGUUUUGUGGAUUAAGAAAGCCACUAAAGGUAUUUUCCAAAUAGCUGGAGCGGUGCAUUUUUGUGUGUGAACGAUGAAGCGACGCUUUUCCGUGAAGCUGUUUAAGUUCAUCAAGGCAAUCAGAACAGAGACUUUGAGGUCUAGUUCAUUCGCUUCUUUUCGAUGGUUAUAUUUGAUUCAGUAGCAUUGUCUCUUUCAGCACAAGACCAAUGGCAGAUCCCAGGGCCUGCCAUCGACAUACGGGAAAGAUCACUGACAGACCCUGGGGCUGAACAUGUUGAAGGUGCCACUGAAAGUGUCAAAAUAGCAUUAUUUCUUAGUUUUAUGAUAUUUGAAGCAAAUUUUUGGUGCAAUUUUGUAAAUAAUAAAUUUGAAUAUUUGUUGCGCUGAUUGGUAGCCUACACUAAACAUAUAUUUUUCAUGUUUUUUUAUUGUUAUAUCGUGUUAAGUAAGUUGCAUACGUUGACUGCCACUAAACCUUCUGAACGCCUGGAACCAGCGACUAAUACUAGUCGGCAUUACCAAAGAAAUAGUUAAAAAUGAACAGUCGUUGAAACAUAACCAUGGGGCCCUUUAUCAUUCUAGUAAGUUUUUUGUAUGCAGUUUAACUGAUGGAGGCUGAAUUCAUGUAAACACUCUGUAUAAAACCACACACAAAACUAGUCUGUAAUUUUCAGUCUAGAUUAUUCUAGCCUCAAAACUAGAAUUAGAUCCGAGUAUCUGCUCGAAAAGUGGCAAAACAAGGUGGUGUUUACAUUUAUCCCAAGGCGCAUUAAAGAGAUCUGGUGAUGGAAUCCAGAAUCAAUGUGUAAGUAUUCCAGGUGGUCUUAUAGCAUGUUUAAUAUAACAAAAUUAGGAUAUCACUUUUUGACACGAUGGGUGAACAUUUUUGUGCAAACCAACUUUCUGGAGGCUUGACGACUAAACAAAACACUCUUAAAAUCCUCAUUCAGAAGCAGAGGCGAUAAAAAUCAGCCUUCUAAAUUCAUACAUCUUGGGAUAAGCGCACCUGUAUAUUAUACCCACUUUGAUAGCAGCUCGAAAACUGAUAUACAAUGUUAACAGCUGACAGGCUGAAAUUUCAGCCUAUCAACUUAAGACGGAAAGGACCCUCAUAGUUGUUAAUAAUUGAUCGAUUUUGACAUCACGAACGCAUUAAGCGUAUGCGCUUCAAAUUAACUGUUGAUUGUUGGGCUCACAUCUAAUAACUCUUUUAUAAACGUUGAAUCUCAAAUCAACUCUUUUCAUAUCUUUAUGAUCUAACGGUUAUCUGACUGCGUAAAAACAUGUUAUGUCGCAUACGUAUAUCAGCAUUUAGGUUAUUUUUGAAGAAAAACAAUUCACCAAAAAGAUAAGAGCACAUUCUUUUCCUUCAUGCCAAUUGAACUGUUGUAUGAUCCAUACUAGUGAUGGGAAAAUGAAAUUUUUGUCGGAAUCGAUUCCGGCUAGCU